GAAUGUCAAAUUGACUUUUCCUUAUUUGUCAAACUAUCUGCUCUCUCUGUUUUUUUUUUUUCCAUAAAAUUCUGUUCCAUUUUUCCUUUUAUGCCAGCACUAGUCAUUUUUUAUCAACUUUACAUCAUCAUCUUCAAAAACCUAGGAAAAAGAAUGGUGCAAUGAUCACUAACAUACCAAGAAAUAACUUUGCAUUGUUCAUUUCCCCCCCACCCCCCAAAAAAAAAACAAUCUUUCUAACUUAGAAAGAAUCUUUUAGUUCUUCUUCCUACAAAACAAACUUCUCUUUUUUAUUUUUCCACGACAUAAUACUAGCAAAAUUCAUCAAACCUAUCAUCAUAAGACAAAAACACCCACGCGCACUUACAUUUGUAAAACUCAAACGCGCCUUGAAACCUUAAUUACCGGGCGCGUGAGAGUGUACGAGGAAGAAAGCGCGUGAAAGGGUCAAACACUAAGGCUGUGUUUGGUAAUGGAGAAAGAAAGAAAGAAAGAAAAAUAGAAGUAGAAGAAUUUACAGAAAAAGAAAUUGCUAUUUCUGAUCAGACACACAAACGAAAUAAGAGUAUUGGAAAAGAGCGAUCUGAAAGAGGGAGUGUUGAAGGUGAGUCUUCUUGGUUUCUUGAUAUAGAACACUGAAUUGAAAUUCAAAGCAAUUUGUAGAGCAACGGAAGAAGAAGCUAUUUGGGUUUCAAUGAACAAGUAAGAGUUGAAAAACAUUUGGGUUUUCCCUCUACUUUCUUGAAUCUUGAAUUUCAAUAAAGCCUGUAUUUUCUUUUUUCUAAUUUCAGUAUCCCCUUCAAGCUUAAAAAUCUCUUCUUUUUAUCCCAAUUUUGUGUGGGAUAUAUUUGAACUUGAAGUGGGAAGCUUUGAAAGUUUACUUUUUUGGUACCUGGUGGCAUUUUCUUGUCUGUAUUAAGUUUUGCCCUGUAAUUUACAGGCAAUUUGAACUUAAUUGAAUUGGGAAAAAUAAAGUCUUUGGGUUUACUUGGAGUUGCAGAGAGGUAUUAGAGAUUGAGGGGUUUUCUUGGUUUUAAGGUUGGAGUUUGAUUGGUACUGAGAAUUUGAAAAUUUUCAAGAUUGGGAUUUUUGGAGGGAGAGUUAGUUGAGAAUUAUGGAUCUCUAGCUGGGGUCUUAACCCCUUCAAUAGUUAUACUCUUGCAAGUUGGAAUUUUGGAUAUGGGUUUUGAUUCAGCAUUGCCUGAAUUGCCAUUGGAGGAAUACAAUCUUGUUUCCACUAUGGGUUUUUGGAAUUGGGGAAAACCCUAAUUUUGUAUUCUGACUUGUUGUGACACUUGAAAACAGUGGAAAUUUUGUGCUCUUUUGCUUGUUAUGUGUUGACAGAGAUGCAAGUCAUGCAACCGCCACAUCAGCAUUCGCGAAUCAAUCUUGCUGAACUGAAAGCUCAGUUAGUGAGGAAACUUGGACCUGAGAAGUUUAAACAGUACUUUUAUUACUUAAAUAGGUUAUUGAGUUUGAAAAUAAGCAAGGUUGAGUUCAAUAAGCUUUGUCUUAGGAUAUUGGGCAGAGAGAACAUUCCACUGCAUAAUCAGUUCAUUCGUUCCAUUUUGAGAAAUGCUUGUAGCGCAAAAGUUCCACCGCCAACUCAGGAGACUGAUGCUUUGAAGCCUGGUGCAGCAGUUGGCAGUAAUGAGUCCCCAAAUGAUGCUUAUGAGCAAAAUGGAUUGCAUGUUUCCUCAAGCCAGGCUUCAAGUCAACCAGGUUUGUCUAAUGGGGAUAUUCUCCCAUUAUCUCCUGGAAAGGCCAGAACAAGCUUUCUUGAUCGUAGGACUGGGGAUCGCCGUACUGUGCUUGGUCAAAACGGGAAGACCAAUUUCACUAUUCAACAACCGACAGCGACAGAAUCAAGUUUUGAUGUUAUGGAGAAUGGGGAUACCAAUCCACCUGAUGCACGGAGGGCUGUGCAGCAUUAUCAAGGACUCUUGCAGCAGGCUGAUGAUGAAAGGGAGGCAUCUGGUCAAGAAACUGCUAGAUUUUCUGUAAUAAAGAGAUCACAGGAAGGUCCAGUUUCAGUAUAUAAAAAUGACGGGAAAGAUAUGCAUGCAAGGAGCCAGCUCCAAGCUCCGCUUGGGGUUCCAUUUUGCCCUGUUAGUGUUGGUGGAGCACGUAAAGCGUUGCCUUUGGCAACAAAUAGUAAAUGUGUUACCUCUUCUAGUUGUGGUGCUUUGUUGGAUAGUGUAUCUCUGAGGGAACGCAUGGAGCAGAUUGCUGCAGAACAAGGCCUUGAAGGAGUGGCCAGCAGUUGUGCCAACUUGUUGAACAAUGGAUUAGAUGCUUACUUAAGAGGUUUAAUUCGAUCUUGUGUUCAACUUGUUGGGGCAAGGUCAGGGCAUGAGCCUAGAAUAAACAACACCAAAAAGCAGCAGACCCAUAUGAAGCUCGUCAACGGCCUCAGACCUGGUCUUCAUUCUCAAAUAAGUAGUAUUAGUAGACCUUCAGAAGUCAUGCAAGAACAUGCUCCCAAUAACUUGAUAUCGUUGCAAGAUUUUAGGGUUGCCAUGGAGCUGAACUCCCGACAACUUGGCGAAGACUGGCCAUUGCUGCUGGAAAAAAUAUGUACACGCUCAUUUGAAGAAUAAGCCAUACGUGAACUUUGUUAUAUUCCAGUUGAAUUUGUGGUCCCUACUGGAUCAAAGGGCAGUGUUCCUCUCAGGGUUUCUGCGCAGCUGCAGCAUUACAGCUUUUGUGGCCCUUUUGAACCAGUCAACAACUCUUGGGGUCAAUGUUGUCUCUUGAAGAUGAUAGGCACGGAGCCCAGAAUCUUUGUCUUACCUGCUACAGGGCUUAACUUUGCCUGGAAACACCCUAUUUCUUAGCAACCACUGAACGGGACUUGAAGAAAGGAACACCCGCGCUGGUUGUGCUGUUGUAUGAUUAGCAUAAUUCUUUCUGGAUAUUUUCUGCAUUCUCCCUCCUGUAAUUUACAGUAAAGAGAAAAUUUGGCACAAGUUUGCAGGAAUAAUUCUGUAGCCUAGGACUUUAGUAGAAAGGUGAAACUAGAUGAUCAAGAAAUGCUGUGUAUCUUCAACAUCAAGAUUGAUUGAACCUCAAUAUUAACAACACGUUUUCACCAGGCAGCCCGGUGCACUAAGCUCCCGCUAUGCGCGGGGUCCGGGGAAGGGCCGGACCACAAGGGUCUAUUGUACGCAGCCUUACCUUGCAUUUCUGCAAGAGGCUGUUUCCACGGCUCGAACCCGUGACCUCCUGGU